GAUGAACGCUGGCGGCGUGCCUAAUACAUGCAAGUCGAGCGAACAGACGAGGAGCUUGCUCCUCUGACGUUAGCGGCGGACGGGUGAGUAACACGUGGAUAACCUACCUAUAAGACUGGGAUAACUUCGGGAAACCGGAGCUAAUACCGGAUAAUAUAUUGAACCGCAUGGUUCAAUAGUGAAAGACGCUUUUGCUGUCACUUAUAGAUGGAUCCGCGCCGCAUUAGCUAGUUGGUAAGGUAACGGCUUACCAAGGCAACGAUGCGUAGCCGACCUGAGAGGGUGAUCGGCCACACUGGAACUGAGACACGGUCCAGACUCCUACGGGAGGCAGCAGUGGGGAAUCUUCCGCAAUGGGCGAAAGCCUGACGGAGCAACGCCGCGUGAGUGAUGAAGGUCUUCGGAUCGUAAAACUCUGUUAUUAGGGAAGAACAAAUGUGUAAGUAACUAUGCACGUCUUGACGGUACCUAAUCAGAAAGCCACGGCUAACUACGUG
rnacentral:rRNA from 1 species